ensembl:snRNA U6 U6 spliceosomal RNA
GUACUUGCUUCAGCAGCACAUAUAUUAAAAUUAGAAUGAUACAGAGAAGAUUAACAUGGCCCCCACACAAUAACAUGCGAAUUCAUGAAGUGUUCCAUAUUUUU